rnacentral:rRNA from 1 species
AGAGUUUGAUCAUGGCUCAGAACGAACGCUGGCGGCGCGUUUAAGCAUGCAAGUCGAGCGGCAAGGGCCUUCGGGCCCUAGAGCGGCGGACGGGUGAGUAACACGUGGACAAUCUGCCCCCCGGCCCGGGAUAGCCCAGGGAAACCUGGAUUAAUACCGGAUGAGACGGGACCCGCGAUGGCGGGAUCCGGGAAAGGCGCUGCGGCGCCGCCGGGGGAUGAGUCUGCGUCCCAUUAGCUAGACGGCGGGGUAACGGCCCACCGUGGCGACGAUGGGUAGCCGGCCUGAGAGGGUGGACGGCCACAUUGGAACUGAGACACGGUCCAGACUCCUACGGGAGGCAGCAGCUAAGAAUCUUCCGCAAUGGGCGAAAGCCUGACGGAGCCGACGCCGCGUGAACGAAGAAGGCCGUGAGGUUGUAAAGUUCUUUUCGGGAGGGGAACAACCGUGGCAGGGAAUGGCCGCGGGAUGACGUGAAUCCCGGAAUAAGCCCCGGCUAACUACGUGCCAGCCGCAGC